rnacentral:rRNA from 1 species
CUGCAACUCGCCUACAUGAAGCUGGAAUCGCUAGUAAUCGCGGAUCAGCAUGCCGCGGUGAAUACGUUCCCGGGCCUUGUACACACCGCCCGUCACACCACGAGAGUUUGUAACACCCGAAGUCGGUGAGGUAACCUUUUGGAGCCAGCCGCCUAAGGUGGGACAGAUGAUUGGGGUGAAGUCGUAACAAGGUAGCCGUAUCGGAAGGUGCGGCUGGAUCACCUCCUUUCUAAGGAA